rnacentral:rRNA from 1 species
UACGUAGGGGGCAAGCGUUGUCCGGAAUCAUUGGGCGUAAAGCGCGCGUAGGCGGCUAGAUCAGUCUGCUGUAAAAGUCAAAGGCUCAACCUUUGAAAGCCGGUGGAUACUGUCUAGCUAGAGUCCGGAAGAGGCGAGUGGAAUUCCUGGUGUAGCGGUGGAAUGCGCAGAUAUCAGGAGGAACACCGGUGGCGAAGGCGGGAUCCUGGGCCAGUACUGACGCUGAGGUGCGAAAGCGUGGGGAGCAAACAGG